rnacentral:lncRNA from 1 species
GUCGAACUCCAUUACUUCUUUAGGUCCAUACAAUGUGUCUUACCACAAAACAAACCCAUCCAGCCUUAAUCAGUUGACCAGCAGCAAGGCCUGGAGGCGACACCUCUCCCGUGUGGCCCUCACGAUGCGGAUGUCAGAGCCCUGAGCCAGCCGAGGCCUCUGCACGGUCAUAUGUGCCCUGCUGGGCCUUCCUCAGUGGCACUCAGGGCUCUGGGACCUCAGCUCAGGGCUGGAGCUCCUUCAGCGGGGCCACAGGCAUCCACCAGGGAGGGUCAGUGGUGGCUUUCUCUUUCGGUGGCAGGAAAGUGGGCUUGUCUGGAAGGCAGCAGCACAGGCCUGGGGUCGGGUGGCCCAGCUUUUGUGCCAUGGUGGGAGCCUUGCAGCUCCGAGUCCCCCGUGGUGACACCAGCCCCACCCCUGGCAUGCAGGCUCCCACCCCGUGGCCAGGUACCUAGGCUCCGUGGACUACCGCUACAACAACUUCUUCCAGGACCUGGCCUGGAGAGACCUGUUCAACAAGCUGGAGGCCCAGAGUGCGGGUGAGGCCUGGGCGCGUCCACAGCCCACGCCACCGCGGGAGGAAGGGGCCCCGGUUUCCCCAGAUGCUGUGCCCAGGAGGCCCUGCACUUUGGUGGCUUUCUGAAAA